rnacentral:rRNA from 1 species
CAGGACGAACGCUGGCGGCGCGCCUAACACAUGCAAGUCGAACGAGAGAUGAGGAGCUUGCUCUUCAAAUCGAGUGGCGAACGGGUGAGUAACGCGUGAGGAACCUGCCUCAAAGAGGGGGACAACAGUUGGAAACGACUGCUAAUACCGCAUAAGCCCACGGCUCGGCAUCGAGCAGAGGGAAAAGGAGCAAUCCGCUUUGAGAUGGCCUCGCGUCCGAUUAGCUAGUUGGUGAGGUAACGGCCCACCAAGGCGACGAUCGGUAGCCGGACUGAGAGGUUGAACGGCCACAUUGGGACUGAGACACGGCCCAGACUCCUACGGGAGGCAGCAGUGGGGAAUAUUGCACAAUGGGGGAAACCCUGAUGCAGCGACGCCGCGUGGAGGAAGAAGGUCUUCGGAUUGUAAACUCCUGUUGUUGAGGAAGAUAAUGACGGUACUCAACAAGGAAGUGACGGCUAACUACGUGCCAGCAGCCGCGGUAAAACGUAGGUCACAAGCGUUGUCCGGAAUUACUGGGUGUAAAGGGAGCGCAGGCGGGAGAACAAGUUGGAAGUGAAAUCCAUGGGCUCAACCCAUGAACUGCUUUCAAAACUGUUUUUCUUGAGUAGUGCAGAGGUAGGCGGAAUUCCCGGUGUAGCGGUGGAAUGCGUAGAUAUCGGGGGGAACACCAGUGGCGAAGGCGGCCUACUGGGCACCAACUGACGCUGAGGCUCGAAAGUGUGGGUAGCAAACAGGAUUAGAUACCCUGGUAGUCCACACCGUAAACGAUGAUUACUAGGUGUUGGAGGAUUGACCCCUUCAGUGCCGCAGUUAACACAAUAAGUAAUCCACCUGGGGAGUACGACCGCAAGGUUGAAACUCAAAGGAAUUGACGGAAGGG